CCACACUGGCAUGUGGGCCUGAGUCCCGGGCAACCUCAGCCCUAUUGUGGGAAGUAGCAUUACAACCCAUCAGCUUUUUAUCUUGUACCCAAUCUGGCUGGUCCUCAUUAAGGGUCUAUGUGGGAAUUGUGAACACCCUUUUCUAUUGUGCUAAGAUCUUUGCUAUGCAAACCUUCACAAGAGACUGACUGCAGUAGAGGUAAUAAGAGCAUGUCUUCACUACGGACUGGAUUGAUGGGCAGCAGUCGAUCCAGUGGGGGUUGAUUUAGCACAUCUAGUACAGAUAUGAUGAAUCAACCACCAAGUGCUCUCCUGUAUACUCCAGUUCUCCACCAAAACGAGAAGAGUCAGCGGAGUCAAUGGCAGAGCAUCCGCUGUCGACUUACCACUGUGAAGAUACCCAGUAAGCAGAUCUACAACUAUGUUAUUCACGGAGCUGAAGUUGUGUAGCUUAGGUCAAUGACAAGGCCUAACAGUUCUCCUACCAGUGUUCCAGUUCCUUGGGGCUGCCAGCACUCCAGCUGGGUGCCAGUGGUGUCUGAGCAUCGCAGAUUGCAAUCUAACAGUCUCUUCACUGUGGAUUUGCCUCUUCACCUCUUCCUGUUCGGGUUGUCUUGAGUUUGGUUUCCAGCAAGAGCCCUGCUGCUCUGGGCAAUUGGAAAGACGAGGGUCAUCAGUUUCCAAGAAAACAAGCUUUGAAACUAGCUUUAAAAAAUCAGCAGUCCCUUGGUUGUAAUCCCAAGAGUCUCUUGCUCCUUGGAGUCUGGCAGCAGCAUCUGCCACUUCCUCCUGACCUAGUCGCCCUCCCUGAUAGGCUCCCUCUUUCUCCUCUCUUCUUGCUUUGGGAGCAGUGUGCGAUUACUCAGCAAAGAUUCAAAUGCCACCCAGCUGAUUAGCAGAACUAGGUCUUCUACCAGCGAUGGACAUUUGUACAGCCCUCAGUGCACAUCCAAUGUAUUCCACCCACGGAUGGGAAAAAAAUCCCCCCAUGAAUGGAGAAGAUUCGAGGCAACAUGAUUUGGGAGCCCUCUUCUGUUCCUUGACCCACACCCCUCUAUCCUAUGUAGUAUGGGGGUGAUUGAUCCCCACCCUGCCCUGAAUUAGAGGCUGGGCUUGCUUAACUCAAGAGCAGCUGAAUCCGAACCAUAGCAUCCCUUAAGCACAUAACCUCUCUGGGGUACUUUGGGAGAGGUAUCAUGCCGAUGGAAACACAGGGCCCCUGACCUGGAAGUGAAAAUGACAAACGAGGUUCGUGCACAGCAGAUGAAGUCUUACACUUACCUUCCCAUAUGGACAAGCACCAUAGAAGCAACUGUCCGACCACAUUGCGUCAGAGUAGCACUGGGCCCGCACAGCAUGGGCUAGCGUGGAAGAGGAGAGAGUGGUGGGGCUACUGCACAGACAUAAGUGUUGAGAGAGGGCCUAUUAAUAGUUGUGCCACUGACUCUGUGACCUUGGGCAUGUCACUGCAACCCUUUACCCCUGCUUGCUCCCUGUUCUAGAGUGAUUCCAGCCAGGAACCCUGGAGCUGGAAAUUCCCUAGUUUCUUCUGUUAAUUCCCGCUCUAACAGCCAGGCUCUGCCCUUUAAGGGAGUCUAGACUGACUCCAGGAAGUGUGGUAUGUGAAAGUCCAAUUACCCUUAUUUUCAACUACAAUGUAAAUCCCAGAUUAGAGAGAAGAUUCCACGGCUGUUUGAGCUUCUGCUUGUCAUUAAUCUUCCCUGCAGUGAGUAUUAAAAGUGACAAAUACCCUCUGA